UUGGUUCAAAUUGACUUCUUAACUUAUCCAAAAUGUCUUGAACCAAAUCUAGAGACACUUAACCAUAAUUAUACAAGAAUUUCACUGAAACACUAGAUUGAAUUCAUUAGUAAACAUAAGAUAUACUCAAAUGCUUUGAGCUCAUCAAAAUCAAAUAGGGUUAUAAUCAAUCACUCCACAAUCUUCCCCUUUUUGAUGAUGACAAAACAUUGAGUAUAUGUAAAGUGAAUUGCUCAACAAACAAGGAGAUUUAUAGUAAAAUUUUAAAAUGA
rnacentral:lncRNA from 1 species